rnacentral:rRNA from 1 species
GAUGAACGCUGGCGGCGUGCCUAAUACAUGCAAGUCGAGCGAACGGACGAGAAGCUUGCUUCUCUGAUGUUAGCGGCGGACGGGUGAGUAACACGUGGAUAACCUACCUAUAAGACUGGGAUAACUUCGGGAAACCGGAGCUAAUACCGGAUAAUAUUUUGAACCGCAUGGUUCAAAAGUGAAAGACGGUCUUGCUGUCACUUAUAGAUGGAUCCGCGCUGCAUUAGCUAGUUGGUAAGGUAACGGCUUACCAAGGCAACGAUGCAUAGCCGACCUGAGAGGGUGAUCGGCCACACUGGAACUGAGACACGGUCCAGACUCCUACGGGAGGCAGCAGUAGGGAAUCUUCCGCAAUGGGCGAAAGCCUGACGGAGCAACGCCGCGUGAGUGAUGAAGGUCUUCGGAUCGUAAAACUCUGUUAUUAGGGAAGAACAUAUGUGUAAGUAACUGUGCACAUCUUGACGGUACCUAAUCAGAAAGCCACGGGCUACUACGUGCCAGCAGCCGCGGUAAUACGUAAGUGGCAAGCCGUAUCCCGGAAUUAUGGGGCGUAAAGCGCGCGUAGGCGGUUUUUUAGUCUGAUGUGAAAGCCCACGGCUCAACCGUGGAGGGUCAUUGGAAACUGGAAAACUUGAGUGCAGAAGAGGAAAGUGGAAUUCCAUGUGUAGCGGUGAAAUGCGCAGAGAUAUGGAGGAACACCAGUGGCGAAGGCGACUUUCUGGUCUGUAACUGACGCUGAUGUGCGAAAGCGUGGGGAUCAAACAGGAUUAGAUACCCUGGUAGUCCACGCCGUAAACGAUGAGUGCUAAGUGUUAGGGGGUUUCCGCCCCUUAGUGCUGCAGCUAACGCAUUAAGCACUCCGCCUGGGGAGUACGACCGCAAGGUUGAAACUCAAAGGAAUUGACGGGGACCCGCACAAGCGGUGGAGCAUGUGGUUUAAUUCGAAGCAACGCGAAGAACCUUACCAAAUCUUGACAUCCUUUGACAACUCUAGAGAUAGAGCCUUCCCCUUCGGGGGGGCAAAGUGACAGGUGGUGCAUGGUUGUCGUCAGCUCGUGUCGUGAGAUGUUGGGUUAAGUCCCGCAACGAGCGCAACCCUUAAGCUUAGUUGCCAUCAUUAAGUUGGGCACUCUAAGUUGACUGCCGGUGACAAACCGGAGGAAGGUGGGGAUGACGUCAAAUCAUCAUGCCCCUUAUGAUUUGGGCUACACACGUGCUACAAUGGACAAUACAAAGGGCAGCGAAACCGCGAGGUCAAGCAAAUCCCAUAAAGUUGUUCUCAGUUCGGAUUGUAGUCUGCAACUCGACUACAUGAAGCUGGAAUCGCUAGUAAUCGUAGAUCAGCAUGCUACGGUGAAUACGUUCCCGGGUCU